UACAGAGGUCUCAAGCGUUGUUCGGAUUCAUUGGGCGUAAAGGGCGCGUAGGCGGCUUUAUAAGUCGGGGGUGAAAGCCUGUGGCUCAACCACAGAAUUGCCUUCGAUACUGUAGAGCUUGAGACCGGAAGAGGUAAGUGGAACUGCGAGUGUAGAGGUGAAAUUCGUAGAUAUUCGCAAGAACACCAGUGGCGAAGGCGGCUCACUGGCCCGAUACUGACGCUGAGGCACGAAAGCGUGGGGAGCAAACAGG
rnacentral:rRNA from 1 species